CUCAGCUAGUUGGUGAGGUAACGGCCCACCAAGGCGACGACGGGUAGCCGGCCUGAGAGGGUGACCGGCCACACUAGGACUGAGACACGGCCCAGACUCCUACGGGAGGCAGCAGUGGGGAAUAUUGCACAAUGGGCGCAAGCCUGAAGCAGCAACGCCGCGUGAGGGACGACGGCCUUCGGGUUGUAAACCUCUUUUAGUAGGGAAGAAGCGAAAGUGACGGUACCUGCAGAAAAAGCACCGGCUAACUACGUGCCAGCAGCCGCGGUAAUACGUAGGGUGCAAGCGUUAUCCGGAAUUAUUGGGCGUAAAGAGCUCGUAGGCGGUUUGUCGCGUCUGCUGUGAAAACUGGAGGCUCAACCUCCAGCCUGCAGUGGGUACGGGCAAACUAGAGUGCGGUAGGGGAGAUUGGAAUUCCUGGUGUAGCGGUGGAAUGCGCAGAUAUCAGGAGGAACACCGAUGGCGAAGGCAGAUCUCUGGGCCGUAACUGACGCUGAGGAGCGAAAGCAUGGGGAGCGAACAGGAUUAGAUACCCUGGUAGUCCAUGCCGUAAACGUUGGGAACUAGAUGUGGGGGCCAUUCCACGGCUUCCGUGUCGCAGCUAACGCAUUAAGUUCCCCGCCUGGGGAGUACGGCCGCAAGGCUAAAACUCAAAGGAAUUGACGGGGGCCCGCACAAGCGGCGGAGCAUGCGGAUUAAUUCGAUGCAACGCGAAGAACCUUACCAAGGCUUGACAUAUACGAGAACGCUGCAGAAAUGUAGAACUCUUUGGACACUCGUAUACAGGUGGUGCAUGGUUGUCGUCAGCUCGUGUCGUGAGAUGUUGGGUUAAGUCCCGCAACGAGCGCAACCCUCGUUCUAUGUUGCCAGCACGUAAUGGUGGGAACUCAUAGGAGACUGCCGGGGUCAACUCGGAGGAAGGUGGGGAUGACGUCAAAUCAUCAUGCCCCUUAUGUCUUGGGCUUCACGCAUGCUACAAUGGCCGGUACAAAGGGCUGCAAUACCGUAAGGUGGAGCGAAUCCCAAAAAGCCGGUCUCAGUUCGGAUUGAGGUCUGCAACUCGACCUCAUGAAGUCGGAGUCGCUAGUAAUCGUGGAUCAGCAACGCCACGGUGAAUACGUUCCCGGGCCUUGUACACACCGCCCGUCAAGUCAUGAAAGUCGGUAACACCCGAAGCCAGUGGCCCAACCGCAAGGAGGGAGCUGUCGAAGGUGGGAUCGGUGAUUAGGACUAAGUCGUAACAAGGUAGCCGUACCGGAAGGUGCGGCUG
rnacentral:rRNA from 1 species